GAUGAACGCUGGCGGCGUGCCUAAUACAUGCAAGUCGAGCGAACGGACGAGAAGCUUGCUUCUCUGAUGUUAGCGGCGGACGGGUGAGUAACACGUGGAUAACCUACCUAUAAGACUGGGAUAACUUCGGGAAACCGGAGCUAAUACCGGAUGAUAUUUUGAACCGCAUGGUUCAAAAGUGAAAGACGGUCUUGCUGUCACUUAUAGAUGGAUCCGCGCUGCAUUAGCUAGUUGGUAAGGUAACGGCUUACCAAGGCAACGAUGCAUAGCCGACCUGAGAGGGUGAUCGGCCACACUGGAACUGAGACACGGUCCAGACUCCUACGGGAGGCAGCGGUAAGGAAUCUUCCGCAAUGGGCGAAAGCCUGACGGAGCAACGCCGCGUGAGUGAUGAAGGUCUUCGGAUCGUAAAACUCUGUUAUUAGGGAAGAACAUAUGUGUAAGUAACUGUGCACAUCUUGACGGUACCUAAUCAGAAAGCCACGGCUAACUACGUG
rnacentral:rRNA from 1 species